rnacentral:rRNA from 1 species
UACGUAGGGUGCAGGCGUUAAUCGGAAUUACUGGGCGUAAAGCGUGCGCAGGCGGUUUCUUAAGUCAGAUGUGAAAGCCCCGGGCUUAACCUGGGAACUGCGUUUGAAACUGGGAGACUUGAGUGUGGCAGAGGGGGGUGGAAUUCCACGUGUAGCAGUGAAAUGCGUAGAUAUCGGGAGGAAUACCGAUGGCGAAGGCAGGUCUCUGGGCUGACACUGACGCUCAUGCACGAAAGCGUGGGGAGCAAACAGG